CCCGCAACGAGCGCAACCCCUGUCCUUUGUUGCCAGCACGUAAUGGUGGGAACUCAAGGGAGACUGCCGGUGAUAAACCGGAGGAAGGUGGGGAUGACGUCAAGUCAUCAUGGCCCUUACGGCCAGGGCUACACACGUGCUACAAUGGCGCGUACAGAGGGCUGCAAGCUAGCGAUAGUGAGCGAAUCCCAAAAAGCGCGUCGUAGUCCGGAUCGGAGUCUGCAACUCGACUCCGUGAAGUCGGAAUCGCUAGUAAUCGCAAAU
rnacentral:rRNA from 1 species